rnacentral:rRNA from 1 species
UACGUAGGGCGCAAGCGUUAUCCGGAAUUAUUGGGCGUAAAGAGUUCGUAGGCGGUUUGUCGCGUCCGUUGUGAAAGCUUGGGGCUCAACCCCAGGUCUGCAGUGGAUACGGGCAGGCUAGAGUCAGGUAGGGGAGAACGGAAUUCCUGGUGUAGCGGUGAAAUGCGCAGAUAUCAGGAGGAACACCGGUGGCGAAGGCGGUUCUCUGGGCCUGUACUGACGCUGAGGAACGAAAGCGUGGGGAGCGAACAGG